rnacentral:rRNA from 1 species
AACGCGAAGAACCUUACCUACCCUUGACAUCCUUGGAAUCCUGUAGAGAUAUGGGAGUGCUUCGGAACCAAGAGACAGGUGCUGCAUGGCUGUCGUCAGCUCGUGUCGUGAGAUGUUGGGUUAAGUCCCGUAACGAGCGCAACCCCUAUACUUAGUUGCUAAUUGCGAAAGCGAUGCACUUUAAGUAGACUGCCGGUGACAAACCGGAGGAAGGUGGGGAUGAUGUCAAGUCAUCAUGGCCCUUAUGGGUAGGGCUACACACGUGCUACAAUGGGCAGUACAGAGGGAGUUGAAACCGCGAGGUGAAACGAAUCUCAGAAAACUGUUCGUAGUCCGGAUUGGAGUCUGCAACUCGACUCCAUGAAGUUGGAAUCGCUAGUAAUCGCAAAUCAGCAUGUUGCGGUGAAUACGUUCCCGGGCCUUGUACACACCGACGCAC